rnacentral:rRNA from 1 species
AUUGAACGCUGGCGGCAGGCCUAACACAUGCAAGUCGAGCGGAUGACGGGAGCUUGCUCCUUGAUUCAGCGGCGGACGGGUGAGUAAUGCCUAGGAAUCUGCCUGGUAGUGGGGGACAACGUUUCGAAAGGAACGCUAAUACCGCAUACGUCCUACGGGAGAAAGCAGGGGACCUUCGGGCCUUGCGCUAUCAGAUGAGCCUAGGUCGGAUUAGCUAGUAGGUGAGGUAAUGGCUCACCUAGGCGACGAUCCGUAACUGGUCUGAGAGGAUGAUCAGUCACACUGGAACUGAGACACGGUCCAGACUCCUACGGGAGGCAGCAGUGGGGAAUAUUGGACAAUGGGCGAAAGCCUGAUCCAGCCAUGCCGCGUGUGUGAAGAAGGUCUUCGGAUUGUAAAGCACUUUAAGUUGGGAGGAAGGGCAGUAAGUUAAUACCUUGCUGUUUUGACGUUACCGACAGAAUAAGCACCGGCUAACUCUGUGCCAGCAGCCGCCGUAAAAC